AUGAAGGUGAGUAAAUACAGCUUGCCUUGUGAGAAAGAGGAACAACAAUUUUUUCUCCUUCAUACCUGCCUUCAGAAAUCUCACUAGGAUGAAAUGAAGAUACUUUCUCAGGAAAGACCAAGAUCUGCUGUCUAAUAAAGAUUUCCAGUGUUUCUACAGCUCUCUAGGUCAUGAUAGCUGCCCUCUUCCAGUGAGUUGCUUCCAUCGUUUGCAUGACUGCUUAUCAAUUUUUUAAGGUCUGGGAGGCUAUACAUAGAGAUUAGAGAAACACUUUGAUGGUCUCUUUGGCAUUUUGUGGAGSUUUCACAGAAAGACUUUCUGAUUUUUUUUUUAAUUACACUGAGGUAGGGAUGGUGGGGAAGUUGACAAGAAAUGUGCACUAUAAUUAGCAAGUUGGAAACUUGGCAAGAAUUUUCAAUCUUCCUUGGCAUCAGACUGUACAUACUGUAGAUGCCAAACCAUUGACAAAGAUGGGAACAGGAAUGAGAAAAGCAAAGUCAAUACAACAGAUAUAUUGAAUUUCGUCUUGAAAAUGACUGUUUUUAAAAUGGCAUGAACCAAGUCAUUAAAGAUACUUUACAGAAGUCUUCAGAAGUUGCGCAUGGUUAUUCAUCUCUGGUUUAGAAGCACAGAAUUCUAUAAAUGCUUCCAGCCUACAAGAUAAUAAAUUUCUUCAUCCAGCCUCCAAGUCCAGCCGCUCAAGCUCUGGGUGUCAUCGACAUUUUGUGCUUCUUCCCAGUUCUGGAAAACUAUAUGAAUGAUGUCUGUCCUCCUCCCGUGCUAGUUUAUUCACAGCUUCAUCGUAGUUUUGUUACCUCUCCUAACUUGCUGGUUUUUUCAGGUCUGUUUCUAUGAGACUACUGAGUUAACUUCAAAAGUUGGUGCUUGCCUACCUCUACCUCGCUGGUGCUGUGAAUGUUUAGUCUGUUUUAGUUGUGAAAUUCCUCCAAAUUCUCYUAAGGAGUGUAAAUCCUGGUUUUCAAAGUCAGUGCUUCUUUGUAGACUCGCUCCUCGUUUCUUUCCUCACCCUGACAACUCUGCUUGUACAGACAGGACUAGAUGCACUCACGGCUUCUAUUGUGGUUCCUGCAACUCCGUUCUUUAUUCAGCAGUAAGUGAAAAGGGUGUGACUUUUUUCUGUUCUCCCUUGCUUUUUCCCUUCUAGCCACGAAAUGUGUCCCUGCUGUCUCCACUCUUUGAUUCUGAACUACUGGAAUCUUUGAGGGAAUUGUGUGCAAUUUUAGAUGGGACACGCUCUUUUACCUGUUUUGCAUCCCCGUUGUUCCCACGGGUGCAUAGUCCGCGGCCCCCGGCACGCCUGGGUGGCGGCAGUGCGGGGUUGAGCGGCGGCGCGGGGCGGRCGCGCUCGUCCUUCGGCUCCUGCGGGGCUGCGGCCGCCUCGGGGACGGGCGCUGGAGCGGGAUCCCCGCAGCCCGGGCACCCGCACCCCUGCCCGCGGUGCCCCGAGCGMGGCGGGGCGGGCGGGCUGGGCGCGGGGCUGCAGGGGGUCCCUGGUGCCCCCUUCACCCAGCCCGGACGCUGSCGCUGCCSGCAGGAGCUCCGGAGCAGAGCUGGCCGGGCGGGUGUCGGCCGGGGCUGUCCGCAGCAGCCUCUGGUUCGGCACUCACAGCGCUGUGCUCAGGCCGAGGUUCUGCGGGAUGGGCCACGCGGCCGUGGGAAACAGUUCGGGAAUCUUCCUGCCAGGAGCAGCGUGCAAGCAGCUGCGUGUCACCCGAUGAAGCCUGUUUCCAUUCUCAGCGGUUCUGGGUGUUCGGGAGCUUUGGGAAGGGAGGGACUAGCCGGGGAGUUGCUUGUCUUUGUCCUUGCUCAAGGAGAGCCGGGUUUUGCCAAUUCAUUUGAGGCGUUUACACCUCUGAAGUUCUGUAAUAAAUGCUUUGUGUCUCCCAACUCUAACUGUUUUAGGAGAAUGUACCAAGACCCAUUACAUUGUAACUAUGGAGGGCGGUUGGAGGUAUAAAUAUGUUUCCUUUGAGGUUUUUUAUUCCUGUCCUUGCAGGAUUUUCAGAUGUCUCUUCAGAAGAGCUGCAUCUGGAGUAGUAUGACAGCAAACAGUAUAAAUGGGAAAUGUAUACAUGCUGUUGAMCAGUUAGUGCAACAAUGAGAAAAUUGGACUGCUUCAGUUGAAAGCUUUAAAUGCAUCAACAAAAGCAGCUUUGCUCUCUGCUUUCAAGACCACGGGCACUCAAGCAGCACCUGCCUUUGGACUGGGA